AUGCUUACCUGGCAGGGGUAAUAUCACGAUUUGAAGGUGAUUUUCCCAAGGCAAGGCUUAUCGAUUUCACUC
rnacentral:snRNA from 1 species